GGUAAGGGACACCCUCGAAUAUCGUUAAGGGUUUUCGGCAUGCCUCUGCAUAGAAACACCCUUAUGUUCUUACUGCUGUUGAACCUCACUAAAAGCCCUGCUGCCACGCCGAAUACCAACAAGGUUCGCCCUUUGAUAUGGUAUGAUGGCCGACAGAAAAUUGGCGAAGGCGUUACACUAAGAGCGCAUGUCCUGUACGACUGAAAUCACUUCGCAGAACGAGUACCUCAACAGGACAUAAAUAAAUAUUUCGACGAACUGUUUCAGAAGGUUAGAGAAACCUUCAACAAUAAAACUGUCAUGAUAUCUACUAAGGUUGAAAAAGCUUCUUUGAAAAGUGAUGUGGAAGUUCUGGAACCUGGAAGGCGGACAUUAGAGGGCAACGAUAGACUAAGAAAAUUGCAGUCGUACGCUUCUAGCAUACGCGUAUCAAAUGACAGUAUUAUUUAUCUUUUUACUGAGAUGACUCCCUAUGAUGAAUACCUUUAUG
rnacentral:lncRNA from 1 species